rnacentral:ncRNA from 1 species
UAAAAAUCGUUGACUAAGAAGAGUACGUUUAAUUGAUGCGUUGCAGAGAGCUGGGAUUGGUGCGAUCCAGUACGAUAAAUUAUACCGAAUGGGCUUAGGAGAGGUACGCUGAAACAUUAGGAGUAUGCGACCCGGGUUCCGCCGUUACAAGGAUGAGGAUAUCGAAUCUAUUUUUUCCGUAUCCAAAAACGAGAGGAUUCGUAGUCAAUGUGACAACGAAUCAAAAGAGGUGGCACCACGGUAUAAUCGUAUAUAUCGCCCUCUAC